rnacentral:rRNA from 1 species
UGCGCAGGCGGCUUAUUAAGUCAGUGGUGAAAUCUCUCGGCUCAACCGAGAAACUGCCAUUGAAACUGAUAAGCUUGAGUGUAGUUGUAGUAGGCGGAAUAUAGCAUGUAGCAAUGAAAUGCUUAGAUAUGCUAUAGAACACCGAUCGCGAAGGCAGCUUACUAAACUAUUACUGACGCUCAUGCACGAAAGCGUGGGGAGCAAACAGGAUUAGAUACCCUGGUAGUCC